rnacentral:lncRNA from 1 species
GUGCCUGCAGCCCGCCGGCCCCGCCCCCGCUGCCUGCUUCCGCCGCUUUAGUGCACGCUCGGGCUUCCUGGUGCGCCCGGAGCCUGCCUCGCGUGCCGACCCCGCCGCGUAAUCCGGCGAGGCAUCCCAGAUUCCGCCCGGCUCCAGACGCCCUCCACCGACUUUAGUUCGAGCAGACUCAUUUGGAAGCAGUGCAUUUUUAUCAGAGGGACUGAAAAGCCUUUCGAGAAUCAGUCAAGAAAAAGGAAUGCGCAUGAGAGUCAUGGUCACAUCAUGUGAUUGUAGGGAAAGCCUAGGCUAUCAUGGAGGGAAGAGAUUGGAUAAAUUAUUUGAAAAGCAAGCCUGUGAAUUGCUGUGGAGGAACAAUAGCCUGUCUCUUAUCUGGAGCCUUUCCAAGGAAAAGCAAAGGGGACCCUAGAAGGCUUCCUGGGAGACAGUUUAAUUCUGAAAACAAAGCAGUACUUCACCUCUUGUGUGUUGGGUAGAGCUGUAAAACAGAACACAGUCAAAAUAGUCAUUAGGGCCACAUCAAUGUCUGCCCAAAGUCAGGCGAGCAUUCCCAGGAAGGUGGGGGGCUGUGGCAGUUGCACACAUCAACCUCCUUUCUCCAUUGUCACACAGCAGAAGAGCGUGUUCCAUUCUACUAAAGUUGGGGCGGGGGGAGUUGAAUAAUUUAUUGACUGAAAACUGGGGGCCUGAGUUAGAUGGUAAAAAAGUUUAGAGUGCUGUUUUUUGUUUUUUAAGUUAUGUUUGUUUUAUAUAUUGAAGUGCUUAAAAUGUAUUUUAAAAAUUCAAAACAUCCCAGAAAUUCAGCAACUUGAGGAGACAAUAGUGACGAACAUUUUAUGGCAACAUUUGGACACUUUAAAGAUUAUUUCAGGAACUUUAAUGCUGAUAAAUGAGAGAAGGGACAACUUUUCCUAACUAUAACAUUUCGGCACCUGAGUACAGGGAUCAAAACAAGAGCAAGCAUUUCAAAUUCAUAUUGUGAAGCACCUACAAAAAGAUUAUUCUGUUAGCCUUCAUAAUGUGGAGAGUUCAUCUUUUCAUCUUAUCAAAUAAAAAUAUACCCAAAUUCUUGAACAGGCAUUCAGUUAGGAAAAGAGGGUGGGGUGAUGAAAUGUGUUCUCAUUCAGCAAACACUUUGCAGAUAUUUCUAGUCAAAGAUCCCUGUGGUCUAGGCUAGUGAGAGAAAAACGUGCCCUCUGCCCAGUGACAGCGGCUGCACGGGGAUCAGCUUUCACCAAUGCAGGCAGGGGAACAAAGGGCAGGCUUCAUCUGCCUGCAUCCCACAGGCCCUUGCGCAGGGGAGUUCCAUUUCAGUGCCCAUCACAUGACCUCUCAGGCCAAAACGGUUUUUAAUAAUUCUGAUUUUGAAUAUCAAAUGGAAGUGAAAAGUACAUUUAGGAAGGAAGGGCUCUAUCCUUAUUGAAGAACAUGCUCUAUGCAAACAGGUUGGACAGGCACUAGCUCUUGUAGAGCUAUGGUUCUCAGCUUUGGCAACACACUGGAUCACCUCCUCUAAAAGGUACUGAUGCCUGCUUUCCUCCCUCUUCUGCCCCUAAAGAAAGUAGAAUUUAAUUUUAAGCUCUAGGGUGUGGCCUGGGCAUCAGGACUUUUUUUUUUUUUUUGACAGAGUCUCACUGUGUCACCUAGGCUAGAGUGCAGUGUGCAGUCUUGGCUCACUGCAGCCUCAAUCUCCCAGAUUCAAGAGAUCCUCCUGCCUCAGCCCCCUAAGUAACUAGGAUUACAGGCACGCACCACCACACCAGGCUAAUUUUUGUAUUUUUUGUGGAGACGGUCUUUCACUGUGUUGCCCAAGCUGGUCUUGAACUCCUGAGCUCAGGUGAUCCACCUGCCUCAGCCUCCCAAAGUGCUGGGAUUACAGGCAUAAGCCACAGCCCCUGGCCGGCAUCAGGAUUUUUAAAAGCUCCCAAGUGCAGUCAAGGUUGAGAACAGCUGCUAUAGUGUGACUUAAUACAGCAUUCAAAGCCUCUCAUAAUCUAGCCUCAGCCUAAUUUUUCCUUCCAGCACCCCAUCUCAGCCUGUACAUAAGCCACAGAGACAUUCUCACUGUUCUCUGAAUGUACUUGGCUCAUUCAUAUUUCCAGGCUUUCUUGCACACACAUUGUCUGACUCUGGGCACCUAAGGAAAGCUCAGCUCCAAUGUCCUCUCCUCUUCCGUGAAACCUUUCCUGUCAAGCCCACCUUCACUACUAAGUCACUCCUUGCUCCUAGAUCAGAUGGAAGAAUGCUUUGGCAUAUCUCUACUGGAGCCCUUCUCACUUUACAUUAAAGAUAACUGUAUAUAGGUUAGCCCACUCCUCCUCCCUAAUAGCAUGUGGACCCUUUGUAGUUUCAGCAGUAAGCACAGGGCUUGGUUUCUAUGAAUACUUAUUGAGUGAAUGGAUGAAUGAAUGCCAAUCUUGUACAUUGUUGAUGUUCACCACAUUGAACCCAGUUCUCAAACCAGGAUCACUUGGGAGAUUCUGAGUCAAUAAUUUGAAGGUCUGUAUCAUUCCUACUCAAAGUGUGGUCCAUAAGCCAGCAGUGGCUAUAUUAUCUGGGAGCUUGUUGCAAAUGCAGAAUAUGUAUUUUAACAAGAUCCCCAGGCAAUUCAUAUGCACAUUACACUUUGAGCUAUAUUUUUAACAAGCUCCCAGGUGAUUCCUUUGUAGCCCGGCUGCUGACCUGCAUUUCGUAACCACUGUUCUAGACCUUCAUUUGCUGAAUGGAGUGGUCCCUGUGUGAUUGCCUACAGGUUUCUUCUAGUCUCCCAUUUUUCUUCCUAGUUAACAAAGCCCAAAUUUUGUUUGGAAGGGUGAUCAGCCCUUCACCCAUCAGGCCUUUGCCUCAGGGAAGCUUGACCCCACCUUUAGACCCCAUGUUGGGCCUGAGUAGUCCAAAGGCAUAUCCCAUUCCCCUGGCCAGGGAUUAGUUUAGGGAUAGACAUGUGACCAAAUUCAGCUCAAUAAAAUGUGAGUCUGCAGGGGCAAUCUAGAAAAAGUGUCCUCUUCCCUAAGAGAAAGCCACAGGAGGGUAAAAAAAUGUCUCAGAACAUUGUCCUGCCUAAACAUGAUGCCUCGGACAUUCUGCUUCUGUCUUGCUACCUGCAGCACAAGGAAAUCCAACACUGAGGGGUCACAGCAGAGGGACGGAAAGCACCUGGAUCUUACAACAUUGUUGAGCUCUUUUGUCUCUUGACUUCUAGUUAUGAGAUGUAAUUUUCUUACUGUUAAAGUCAUUUCUGUUCCUUGCAACCAAAAGCAUUCAUUGAUACACUGAAUAUAGUACAAUAUUUAUUCAAUCAAUAAAUGCCUGGCAAAUUACCCAAGUAAAAAAAAAAAAAAAAAA